rnacentral:rRNA from 1 species
CGGGACGGGUGAGUAAUGUCUGGGAAACGUGCCUGAUGGAGGGGGAUAACUACUGGAAACGGUAGCUAAUACCGCAUAACGUCGCAAGACCAAAGAGGGGGACCUUCGGGCUCUUGCCAUCGGAUGUGCCCAGAUGGGAUUAGCUAGUAGGUGGGGUAACGGCUCACCUAGGCGACGAUCCCUAGCUGGUCUGAGAGGAUGACCAGCCACACUGGAACUGAGACACGGUCCAG